GACAGAGGUGGCAAGCGUUGUUCGGAUUCAUUGGGUGUAAAGGGUCCGUAGGUGGCCAUGUAAGUCCGGUGUGAAAGCCCACAGCUCAACUGUGGAACUGCAUUGGAAACUGCGUGGCUUGAGUAUCGGAGACGUGAGGGGAAUUCUCGGUGUAAGGGUGAAAUCUGUAGAUAUCGAGAGGAACACCAGUGGCGUAAGCGCCUCACUGGCCGAUAACUGACACUGAGGGACGAAAGCUAGGGGAGCAAACAGG
rnacentral:rRNA from 1 species